ACUAAUUCAUAUUUAAGCCGGUUAUUAAACUAUCAAUUUUUUCCAAUUACACAAAUUGAACACGCCACAUCAGCAAUUGCUGACGUGGCUAAUUUAAGUGGGGUCUUAAGAAGCUGAUGUGGGGGAAAAAAUUUAAUCAUUAAAUAAACAAAUCUAAUUAAAUGUGGGGCAAAAUGGUCAAACAACAAAUUAACACAAAACAAUAACAUAAAAUAUAUCCUAAUAUCAGAUCAUAUAAAAUCGAUCAAUCUAAACCCAGCCCCAAAUAGCUCGAAAACUACCAAAAACUACCACUGCCGGCAGCAGCUCCUCUUCCCCAAUCAUAACUCUGCCACUCAUCCCUCUUCCUUUCCCACGAAUCCAUCUCCUCCUUUUUUCUCUGCAGAUACAUACACAUACUUACAUUACCAUCGAUCAUCAAUGAACAAUGAACAAAUUCAGGAGAUUUGAGAUUAUUGAACCCACCCCAUUUCUCUUCCUCACAGAAACCUCCUCCUCCUUCGCCUCCAAAGCCCCUACACUAAACCCAUGUUUAUUAGAUGUGCUCGACCUCGCUCUCGAUCUCUUAAACCCUAACCCUAUUCUCUUUCCCAACGAUCUCUUUCUCACCACGCCAUUCCACGACUUCGAUCUCUUUCGGCGUUGAUCGUUUUCUGCUCAAAUCCAAGUCAUCCAAGCUAGAUCGAAAGUACACUUAGACGACAGAGAUUAAAACUUCGGAGGACGGUUUAGAUCGGAAGUACAAAUUAACGACGGAGAUCAAAGGUGGAAAGGAGGAAAAGACCAAUAAAUGGACGACUAAGUUUAAGGGAAAGGGAAAGGACUCCGAUCUACCGGACGUAAGAUGGACUCUCCGAUCUCCGAGCUUGGUGAAAUGGUUGAUGUGAGGGGUUGAGCAUGAGUCGGAACUGAAGAUCCAAGAGACUAAGCAGGAGUAAGAUGGACGGUGGGGGGUUUAAUGGAUGCUUUGAACUUUGAAGGCUUGGAGGACUGCUAUGUCGGAGGGGAAAGUGAGGGAAGAAGUGGCGGUGAGGCUGGGUUUCAGAUCAUGAAAGGAAAAGGGGGAACUAGGUUUCAGAUUUUAGGGGAUAAGACAAUGUUUUUUCUUUUUAAUGUUUGUUUUAUUUUAAUUUGAAAUGUUAAUUUGUUGUUUGACCAUUUUACCCCACAUUUAAUUAGAUUUAUUUAUUUAAUGAUUAAAAAAUUCUUUUUUUUGCCACAUCAGCUUCUUAAGACUCCACUUAAAUUAGUCACGUCAGCGAUUGCUGAC
rnacentral:lncRNA from 1 species